UUACAACCACACCACGUUGAACCAUCGGUUCCCGUACGAUCACCGAAGUUAAGCAACGUCGAGCCUGGUCAGUACUUAGAUGGGAAUACGAGGUGCCGUA